rnacentral:rRNA from 1 species
AACCUGCGGAGGGAUCAUUACUGAGUGAGGGCUCACGCCCGACCUCCAACCCUUUGUGAACCAAACUUGUUGCUUCGGGGGCGACCCUGCCGACGACUCCGUCGCCGGGCGCCCCCGGAGGUCUUCUAAACACUGCAUCUUUGCGUCGGAGUUUAAACAAAUUAAACAAAACUUUCAACAACGGAUCUCUUGGUUCUGGCAUCGAUGAAGAACGCAGCGAAAUGCGAUAAGUAAUGUGAAUUGCAGAAUUCAGUGAAUCAUCGAAUCUUUGAACGCACAUUGCGCCCUUUGGUAUUCCGAAGGGCAUGCCUGUUCGAGCGUCAUUUCACCACUCAAGCCUGGCUUGGUAUUGGGCGUCGCGGUGUUCCGCGCGCCUUAAAGUCUUCCGGCUGAGCUGUCCGUCUCUAAGCGUUGUGGAUUUUUCAAUUCGCUUCGGAGUGCGGGUGGCCGCGGCCGUUAAAUCUUUAUUCAAAGGUUGACCUCGGAUCAGGUAGGGAUACCCGCUGAACUUAAGCAUAUCAAU